UCUGGUUGAUCCUGCCAGUAGUUAUAUGCUUGUCUCAAAGAUUAAGCCAUGCAUGUCUAAGUACACACGAAUUAACAGUGAAACCGCAAAAGGCUCAUGAUAUCAGUUUAUGUUCCUUAGAUCGUUUAACAGUUACUUGAAUAAUUCUAGUAAUUCUAGAGCUAAUACAUGCAAUGAAAACACGGACCUUUUGGAACGUGUGCUUUUAUUAGGCUAAAACCAAGCGAUCGCAAGAUCGUUUUAUUGGUUGAACUCUAGAUAACAUGCAGAUCGUAUGCUCUUGUACCGACGACAGAUCUUUCAAAUGUCUGCCCUAUCAACUUUUAAUGGUAGUAUCUAGGACUACCAUGGUUGCAACGGGUAACGGGGAAUCAGAGUUCGACUCCGGGGAGGGAGCCUGAGAAACGGCUACCACAUCUAAGGAAGGCAGCAGGCGCGUAAAUUACCCACUCCCAGCUCGGGCAGGUAGUGACGAAACAUAACAAUACAGGACUCAUAUCCGAGGCCCUGUAAUUGGAAUGAGUACACUUGAAAUCCUUUAACAAGGACGUUUUGGAGGGCAAGUCUGGUGCCAGCUGCCGCGGUAAUUCCAAUAGCUUAUAUUAAAGUUGUUAGAGUUAAAACGUUCGUAGUUGAACUUGUGCUUCAUACUGGUAGUACAACUUACAAUUGUAGUUAGUACUAUACCUUUAUGUAUGUAAGUGUGUUACUGGUGGAGUUCUUAUAUCUAAUAGAAUACUUGUAUUUUUUUAUAUAUUCCUCCUACAUACAUAAUACAUGUUUAAAGAAUUUUCAGAUAAUACACAUUAUCAACUAAUUCUAUUUCAAUUUCACCCACAGUUCGACUGAUUAAUUGUAAUCCAUAUUUUACAUUAAAGAUUCAACGUUUCAACAUUAAGAUUCACAUAGAAAACAAUACAAAUUCAGAACUUCACAUUUUAGACGAAUCGUCCAUGAACAUGGUAAAACUACCCUUCAGCAUCGCUAACGGCGCGAUUCGGUGCGAAACCACAAAGUUUUCCGAAAUUGUCCUCAUAUCUGAAAGACUGUACCAAGCCAAAACCAAUUUCAGUCUUAUGGAAGUUAUCAAUUAUUCAAAAGACAAACAGAAAUUAUGCCUCGACUAAGAAUUACAAGUCAAUAUACAAAAAAAGAACGAUUAUAUUGAGAUAAAUGCCAUAUCCGAAAUUAAUAAUAAUAAACGAAAGGACGGUAUCAAUAUAGCUACCCAACUGCGGACAAACCAUCUAAACGCUGAAGAGUUAACAGCGCUAAAAGACCUGUGAAAAAAUUUCUCUAAUCCUUUUCAUCGAGAGGGAAACAACCUCAUCAUCACUUACUUGGUCAAACAUAGAAUACAGACUACAGACGAAAUUCCAUUGCACACAAAAUCAUUCCGAUACAAGAAAUUUAGAGACAAAUUACAAAACUUUUAGAACAAGACAUAAUCGGACACAUUCAUUCCCCAUGGAGCGAAACAAUUUUCUUAGUUUCAAAGAAAUCCGACGCUUCAAAAAUUAAAAAAUGGAGACUAGUGAUUGACUAUAGAAAACUAAACAAAAAAACCGUGAAAGUAAGUACCCCAUGCCAAACAUCGACGAUGGUCUUGACAGGAUAGGUAGAUCCAAAUACUUUACGGCUUUAAAUCUAGUGGAUAGUGGAUAUUGGAUCCCACCAAGUUGAGAUGGAUCCACGGGAUACUAGCAAACCAGCCUUUUCGGCAAUAGGACAUUUUGAAUUUGUACGAGUGCCCUUCGGGCUUUACAACGCCCCAGC
rnacentral:rRNA from 1 species